CUAACCUGCCAGAGUUCUCUCCUCCUACGUUUUUCCCCUCAGCCCUAGGCCAGAGUUCACCCGUAGGUCCCCACUCUGUUCUCAGCUCUUCUGAGACAUCAGUGGCGACUGCGAUGUCCAAGAUUGAAAACCUAAUGUCCCUGUCCUCCAUGCAGCCCAGGGACUCCAGACCCAGCUUUUCCGCAGUGCCCAAUGUUGUCUAUAGUGCCUGAGAGUCUGAGUCCGACUCCUGCAGGUCCUCGAGAACCUAUGCCUUCCCCACCUCCAAAGCGGGGUCUCGUGGCUUCUCACAGCCUGACGCCCACCCAGCAGUGGCAUCUACGCAGUCAAACUCCUAGUGUCCACCUCACCCAGAGGCCUGAGCCCUGGGCUGAAUGCGGGACCCCAUAAGUCGAGAGGAGAGCUGAGGGUGCUUGAUGUGCAAGCACGAAGAUCUGAGCUCAAAUCUUCAGGACCAGGUACAUCUGAUUUUAAUCAUAUGUGUGAGGAGCGGGUGUGGCAGCAGUCCCAAGAAGGCGCCAGGGACUGCAGCUAAGUCUUAUGACUUGCACCUGACUUCUUCAUACACCUGAAAAUAAGCCACAACCAUCACGAGAGCUGCACAGGUGCACCAGGAUACUGGCGAAUCCAUUUUGAUGGAGACAUGCCCCUGCUGCCCUGAUUAGCUGAAGCUGCGUGUCUGGUGAGGUGACGUGGCCUGCCGUGAGUGGAUGAGGGCUGAGAGUAUAUAAGAGUGAGAGGCCCGGGUCAGAGAGAGAGAAAGAUGGAGAGAGAAAGUUGAAGCGAGAGAGAUGAAGACUGAAGUUUGCUGAAUAAACUGCUGUUAGAAGGACUGGUG
rnacentral:lncRNA from 1 species